GAAGCAACAGAUCGUCACUCGGUGUUCUCACCGAAAGCACGUAAUCGCCGGUGUAACUCAUGUUGGCUGGGGGGCCUCCCCGCUCGCAGAAAGGCUGGGGUGCGCCCCCAAGCAGCUUUCCUUUGCUCAGCUGCAUGGUCCUGGUCCACGAGCGCUCUGAGGGCGGCAAGAGAGCGCAACUCCUGACGCCUCCCCCCACUCCCCGGUGGGUGAGGGAUGCUCUGGGAUGGGGGUGGCCAGGUGAACGCCCGGAAUUGUGUAGCUUCAGGUUCCGGAGUCUGUUGUCCGAAGGCUUACGUUCAGCACCUUCUUCGCAGUCCCCCUCCCACAGACUUGCUCUGGAAAGCACCUCAGUCUCAGAAUCUGGCUGGACCCCAUUUGGGGCCAGGCUUCGCAGCCACGGAUGUGCCGGCCUCGUGGCUUGUCCGAUUUGCACGGUGACUUGAUUACACGCUCUCAUUCAUGGUCACUUCCGAAGCGCUUUAGUGCCUUCCGUCCCCAAACCGCCAACAGGCAAAGCGGCUUUCCUCCGCGGUUUGUCAAUAAUCCGCGCUGUCCGGAAGGGCCUUCGCCUUACCCGGGUUCCACCUUCCCUGUAUCUUUCUGCUUACUUCCUCAUCCCACACUCUGUCCUUGGAGGAACCCCUUCUCCUCGCUGCCUGUAGGGGUUCGGAGUGACUCCACAGAGCCAGAGGCGCUUCUGCUCACCGGUCCGCAAGCUGCCUGGUCUGCUGAAGCUGACGAAUCGGGAAACCAUGCAAUUGAGGCGAACCUUGGGCUGCUUUAGAGGCGCUGAGGAGCCUUCUCCUGGGAGGCCCAAGGUCGAUUUCAGCCCACCAGGAUCUGGGGAAGACCCAACUAGGGGUAAGAGCACACCGGAAGGCCAAGUCCGAGUUCCAGUCCUAGAAGAGGCGGCUGCGGGCAAGGUUAUGACAUUGGCCCUGGACACUGGUUUCCCAGGAGCUAUUCUUUCUCAAGAACUCCACAGCACGGGGCUGUCUCCAGAAAAUACUCUUCAACGUUUAUUUCCUUUAAUCGUCAACCCGGAGCCCUACGGCGGCUAAUGCGAGAGGCCAAAAAUGUUUGGAGGAAGAAAAACAAAGGCAGGAAGUGGCCGCGGCCUGACGGUGCGUGUGUGUCUGUAAAGAAGGGAGGGAGCCGGUUCAAUCUCUUCUUUUUUUCCCCGAAUUUCAAGGUUUAGGCAGACCCCCGUAGGGCCUGGCCGAGGCUCACCCGGCGGAGCAUUUGGAGGUGGCCAAUGAGUAAGGCUCGUCGGGCUGAAAGGCUAAGAAGGAGAUUUGAUCGGCAGAACAAACCAAGCCUUUUUGGAGGUUUCUUCUGAUUUGGUCCUAAAGGGUAUAUGCUAGUGUCCACAGCGGCUCCUGUGGCUGCUGUUUUCCUCCUGUCGGACUAAAUGUACCAAGAAGGGAGAGAGAUUGAGGCACCUUGCGCGCUCCUCUCUCCUUCCGAGGUAGAAUAUCAGAAUAAAGUGUAUUCAGGUGCCUCUGCUGAA
rnacentral:lncRNA from 1 species